rnacentral:rRNA from 1 species
GUGUCAGCCGCCGCGGUAAGACGAACCGUGCGAACGUUGUUCGGAUUCACUGGGCUUAAAGGGCGCGUAGGCGGGCCGUCAAGUCUGUGGUGAAAUCCCCCGGCUUAACCGGGGAAGUGCCGCGGAUACUGACGGUCUCGAGGGGUGCAGGGGCAUGUGGAACUUCCGGUGGAGCUGUGAAAUGCGUAGAUAUCGGAAGGAACGCCGGUGGCGAAAGCGACGUGCUGGACACCUACUGACGCUGAGUCGCGAAAGCCAGGGGAGCAAACGGGAUUAGAUACCCGUGUAGUCC